UACUUGUUAACACAAUUGUUAUGGGACAUCAUGAACAUUACAAUUUAAAAAGAGACAACAAAGAAAUCAAAUCGAUAUAUGUUCAUAUUACAUCUUUUUUCUUUCUCCCUCUACCUGUGACCAUCCUCCUCCACCGAUGUCAAAGAGCAACAUAGGCAUCAAAAUCAAAUGCAUCGAUGUGUUGCAGGUUACUCAUCAAAAUUGAAAUCAGACUUCUAAAAAUAAGGCAACGAUCUGUUUGUGUGGAAGGAAAAAAUCAUACCCAUAGAAUUUAGAAAAAAAAUGUCUAACUCAAAUGCACACAAAAUGUUCAACUAAAUAUCACAACCAAAAAACUAGUUUAAAGAGGGAAAGUUCCUAAGUUUGAAAGUAGGUACAAACCAUGUGGUGGGAGAAUUAGGAGAGGAAAGGCGAUGAGGAGAAGAGAGACGAUCGUUCACUAGAGAGGAGGGUGACGCCGCCAAAAAUUUCCACCAGCGACGAAUGAUGAGAGUGAUUUCCU
rnacentral:lncRNA from 1 species